GGGCAGGUGGCGGAGCGGUCAAUCGCACCAGGCUGUAAACCUGGCAGGCUUAGGCCUUUCGAGGGUUCGAAUCCUUCCCUGCCCA
rnacentral:tRNA from 3 species